rnacentral:rRNA from 1 species
UACGUAUGGUGCAAGCGUUAUCCGGAUUUACUGGGCCUAAAGGGAGCGCAGGCGGUGCGCCAAGUCUGAUGUGAAACCCCGGGGCUCAACCCCGGGCAUGCAUUGGAAACUGGCGGGCUGGAGUGCCGGAGAGGUAAGCGGAAUUCCUAGUGUAGCGGUGAAAUGCGUAGAUAUUAGGAGGAACACCAGUGGCGAAGGCGGCUUACUGGACGGCAACUGACGCUGAGGCUCGAAAGCGUGGGGAGCAAACAGG